GACUCACUGCAACCUCCGCCUCCCGGGUUCAAGUGAUUCUCCUGCCUUAGCCUUCCAAAUAGCUGGAAAUACAGGCACCCGCCACCACGCCCAGCUAAUUUUUGUAUUUUUAGUAGAGAUGGGGUUUCACCAUGUUGGCUAGGAUGGUCUCAAUCUCUUGACCUCGUGAUCCGCCUGCCUCAGCCUCCCGAAGUGCUGGGAUUACAGGUGUGAGCCACUGCGCCUGGCUAGUUCGAGUUUUUAAGGAAUUUAGCUCAGGCUUCUGCAUUGCCACACACACCCCUGCUCUUUCAUAGGCGUGCUGCUUGGCAAAGCUACGGACCGGUAAAGGUUAAUCAGGUAUAAUCAAGUCUGUCCGGGGUUCGACAAACAGCAUCUUGUCCAAGGUGAGCAUAGCCCAAGGCUAUGUGCCUGCCCGGAGACUCAGCUUGGGGUUCCGAGGCAUGUGGGCAGUAGUAGCAGGCCACUAGCCAGGCUGUCAUCCUAGGCCUGGGAAGGACAGAGGGUGGUUUUCCCUACCCAGCAUAGACAGCUGCCUGGGAGCCUGUCUGUCCUCUUGGCCAGGCAGAGGACUGCCUGCUCAAGAAGCAGUUCCUAGCUGUGUCCAUGGAAAGUGUACUUCCACCCUGUUUGAGACUUGUGCCUCUCUGGAUUCUGGUUUGUAAAUCUUGGGGGGCAGCAGAAAGAGGGUUGUAUGUGUUUCCAUGGAAGCACACACAAUUUGCAUGGCCACUGCAGAGGCCAUGGCUACCAAGUCCCAGGCUCUCCCUGGCAGGGUUAGCCCCUAUUCUUGGCACUGGUGAGGGUGCCAAUGGCACACAGCCAGUCGAAAAUUUUGGUGGCCCUGGCUCCAGGCAUAGGCCGUGGUUACCAACAGCCAGCAGGCCUCCAUCUUCCCACUCAACACAUAGGUCCCUGUGUGCCUUCCUCGAAAAAGAUUGUACACACAUGUGACAUCCAGCUGCAGCCGGCGUUGCAGGGUGGGCUCCAGCUCUGCAGGGGGCAGUGGUCCCGUCUUCAGCACCUCUAGUCUGGAGUACAGGUUGCAGUCCCAGGGGCCAGAGGAAGUACUGUUGGGCCUGGAGAACCUGACCUUCACUGCUGAGUGGGAACAGAGGGGCCGGCAUAGCAUUUGGAUAUUCCCUCUUACACUGCCUCAGCCCCGAGCCAGGAGCUGCAAUGGAGGCACUUGGAAGGGGUGUGUAAAGCUACAGGCCCAGGACUCAUCAAAGUCACUGGUGCAGAGAGUGUCCAGAACCUCCUUGGAGGAGCCUGCAUCCUGCAACUCGCAGUCCCUGCAGCUGGCACGCAGCGCUGGGAAGAGGGGCAAGGCGAGGCACUGGCCAGUGUGGUUGGGGGUGGAGUGAGGAGGGGGUGGAGGGGGCUGAUCCCUCCACUUUUCCCACUUUUUUACCCCUUUUGAGACGGAUGCAUACUGUAGGUGACAUUGAGUACAGUUUACCUGAUCCCUGUAUGAUUUGAAUGAUUUGAAAGGGGUGGGGCCGAGCAAGGUGGAGACCAGCCAUGUGCAGACUCACAUGGGCGGUCCAGGCGGGAGCCGUUGUUGGCCACAGCAGUGAUACAGAGAUCAUGGCCCAAGGGGAAGCGUCCACAAUGCAGGAUGGCUGGCCAGGGGUAGCUGUAGCAGGCCAUGAUGGGCUCGCAGCUGGCCUGCAUGGCCUCGCACAGGCUGUAGGAGGGGUAGAUGACCCUUUGGGGGAAAGGGUCGGGGGCUGCACCGCCACAGGCUGAGCACCCAGAUCAGCUGGAACCUCUCCAUGUUCCUACCCCUGUCUCGUGGCCUGGAACUCUCUGGUUGCUGGGCAACGACACUGGUCGCCUAGCAACAGCCCUGUAGCCUGGCUUUCCCACUUGCCCCACAUCUCAGCCCUCAGCUCUGCCUCUUCACUCCCCCCCUCCCACUCAGGUGCCUUGCCAGCUUUCCAUUGCACCUCCCCCUCCAGCUCUGUGGCCAUCCAUUGUCUGCGAGAGGUGGCCUGCACCUUGGGCCUUUACUCUCCAUCUUAAAAUGAGGAAGCAGGGCCCUCCCUCUUGUCCUGAAAGGCCUUCAGGGCACCGCAGCCAGGGCUGGGGUUGGCAAACAGUUCAAGGGCUUGAUCCUGAGUUCUGCUGACAUGGCCACCCAGAGGCUCUUGGGAGAAACCAUUGUUCACAGGAUAGGUUAGGCUGGGGAAGAGGAAACAGCCUUGGGAUCUCUGGACUCUCUGGGAGAAAAGGCCACCAGAAGGGCCUCUGCUCCAUCUCUUGCCAGGGUCUCUUUGGACAGACAUAGCUUCCACGCCUCAUUGGAGAGGAGGUUCCAGCCCGCCUGCCCCCAACCCCCAGCCUGAAGCGACUUGUCCACCUGCCUUAUCUUGACAUUCAAGAGCCCUUGACCACCAUUGAUGGUCUCCUGCCUAAGGGCACCUGGUUCCCUCUGUCUGGAACACUCUAACAAAACGAUCCAUUUUCCUCUCUGUGCCUGUCAGCGCCCAGCCCUGAUAGGUACUCAGGUGCUCAGCAAGGAUUACUGAAGACCUGAGCCUCCAGAGCACGGCCCUGAGGGAGCCCUCCAGGGCCCUGCACCUGGAAGCCCCUGUCCUACCUGUCAAAGCAUACAGGGGUAAAUAGCAGAGGAAGAGGCGGGCAUUGGGGUGGCACUCCCAGGCAAGCAGGAGCAGCCAGCUGACCAACUGCUGGAUGGCCUCAGCCGCUGUGAUGUGGUCCAGCAAGUUGGGCAGACGCAUCUGUGUAGCCAAUGUCGUGGCAUAGGGCCAUGGCUUGGGGAAUGGGCAUGCACCUCAUGCAGCCCCAGGGAGCCCCUGACCCUGCUGUCAUCCCACAGCAUCACCAGUGUCACUAGCAGCCACAGCCCUUGCUCCAUCACUGCCUUCUGUGCCUUGGCCUUAAUGAACUGAGGUUGAGGGUUUUAUAGGGCUGUUCCUGCACCCAGGGAGCCAACAGAGGAGAUCCUGCAGGGGUUUGCACAGCUCCGAGGUGCCUGGACCCACCUGGUGAGGCCCCAACAUGCUGACUGGGCUGUUUGUUUUUGAUUAGCACACAGCAGGGGACUGUAGAGGCUGGAGGCACCUCCACUGGGCUUGCAGAUUACUGGCACCUAAUAAACUGAAGAAACCUGG